rnacentral:rRNA from 1 species
UACAGAGGGGGCAAGCGUUGUUCGGAAUUACUGGGCGUAAAGGGCGCGUAGGCGGCCUGUUAAGUCGAACGUGAAAUCCCCGGGCUCAACCCGGGAACUGCGUCCGAUACUGGCAGGCUUGAAUCCGGGAGAGGGAUGCGGAAUUCCAGGUGUAGCGGUGAAAUGCGUAGAUAUCUGGAGGAACACCAGUAGCGAAGGCGGCACUCUGGGCCGGUACUGACGCUGAGGAGCGAAAGCGUGGGGAGCGAACAGG